GUCCUCCGCCUCCGUGUACUCGUAGGCCGGGCGGCUCCGCGCCAUGGCCGGGCUGCGCCGCCGCCGCCCGCCGCCGCCGCGGCCGCCUGGCAGCCGCUGCCAUGAGGUGAGGGUUGGCCUAACGCUAUCCUACCUCGACAAGACUUUUAGGUGACUCAGCAGGCUGUGAUGAGUGCGAGUACUCUGGGCGGUCCAGCCCAAGACCCAAAUCUGGCAUUUGCAGAGUACAGACAGACCCAGCCUCCAAAUCGUUCAUCAUCAUUUAAAGAUAAAAGGUCCUUCCCCAUCCUGUGCCUGAAGUGCAGGCUUACCUUUCGCUAGCAGCGAGACGCUCAUCUGCUGAUUCCUUAACCGAAGACAGCUCGUAUGUUGCACGGUGAUGGCACCUCCGCCUUGGUUAUGUGAGAGAAGCAUAUCCCUACCUGUAGACUUGGUGGGACCUAGCAUACCUCUGUAAGCCUCCCUAGCUAAAAGGCUGGGCAUCACUGACCUGCCCAGCAGAUAAUACAUAUUGACAAGACUAUCUUGUCUAGCACAAAUGAGUGACGAGACCGGUUCUCCGCGCCGAUCUUCGUGUGAGAACUAUGUGUGAACAAACACUGACAACAGGCAGCGGGGCUGCAGUGAGCUCCGUGAGGCCAUGUGCCCUUUUUUUUGUGAUAGCGAUGGCCCUCGUAACACCUCUCAUAGAGCUGUCUUGCACAGUCUUCCAUAACAGCGCCAAUAACAAACUAAAACAUGCCUUUUUGAAACCUGUAUGUGGCGCCCAACGGGAAGCAACCUGGACUUCGAAGGGAGGAAGAUCACACAUAGCUGACAGAAACACAUCCAGGGUGGGGAAACCCCCCCCCCCCCCAACCCUCUAUCCAAAAAAGAGCUGUAGAGAGCACUGAGGAGUAUCUACAGAAUUUCAGGUAGGUUUGCCAGAAAGGACAACUUUGCUAACUUCUAUCUUUGUCCAAACUAAAAGCCACAAAUGUCUGAACGUUUUUAUAAAAAUGUUAACUAUUGCUUGUCUUUGCAUGACUUUUAUGAGUUACUAUUCAAGUCACUGCAUAUAAAGUCUUUCUGCAAUAUUAAAUUAGCCUGAAUUUCCUAAAGUUUUCAUGGAAUCUUAUAUCCCCCCCAGAAUAACUUAAAAGUUUAGUGACCCAAAGCCUACUGGGAAUUCAGUACUUACAGUCGUGGAUGGACUUUCAUUUUACUUCGUCAACAAACCAGAAUUUAUGCAUUUCAUCCCGUAUCUCCAAGGAAAAAAGGGGAACACUCACACUCAGAAACCAAGGUACCACCCUUCCCUUAUCUGCAGCUGCAAGAGCACCUCUGGGACGCCUUCCGUUUGCUCUUGAUCAGGAUCAAUGUACAGGUGGUUGAAGGGUGGUGCAGAUAAUCACUACAACUGGCUAGUUUGCUGCUCUGCUAAAGGAACAGGUCCUGUAGUACAGGGUGCGCGCGUGUCUGUGUAUAUGCAUAUAUAUAUGUAUAUACCAGAAGUAGUUCAAAAAAGCAAUUUUUGCACAAAACUCUUGGCAUUUUCAGCAGCAAAAUGCUGACAUACACCUAGGUCUAAUAUUGGUAUAUUAAUUCUGACAGGGGAGUAUGUGAAAUGUGAAUGAAAAUCCAAAGCCUAGGAAAGAGAUCCAAGCUUAGUUAGCACUGCUAAUUCUGAAGUUGUCUGAAUUAGUAACAUUCAAAACAACUGCUAAAUGUGUUCUACCUUUACCUUCAAAAAAUAAGCUUUAACUGCAAUAAUAACCUGGUUUUAAAAGGAAAAAUUGAAUUUACUGAAGUAAUUCAAACUGCAAUUUUAAAAUAAGUAACCUAGCUGCAUUUCCUCUAGCCUUUUAAAUAUACGUGAAGCUUUCAGAUUUGCAGACAUGAGACUAUAGAUGCUUAUUAAAGGUAGGGAAAAAACAAAACAGCUACACCAUUUUAAUUCUUGUACUACAUGAAAAAUGAAGACAUCAGCUGGCAAUUCAGAUUAACUGCUUGCCCCAGUCUGCAUUCUUUACCAAAAACUGAAUUCUACAAGCACAGUUUUUAAGGAAGAGGAAAUACUGAGAAACAUGAUAAAUGGAUAUGGCAUUUGAAAACAAGAGCACAUUCAAAAUUUCAUUUUAAAAUAACUGAUUGUCAUACUUAGUAUUUUAAAUCAAAAGCACUGUCUAGCUACAUUAUACUUAGCAUCACAACUGUGCAUUUAAAAACUCUUUUGAGUGUGGCAGAGAGUAAUCACGUUUUCUUUCUGUCAACAUCCAGCCAUGAAAAUACUUUCAGUUAGGAGUUAAAAACUAAAUUUAAAUGUUUUUUCACUUUAGGUGAUAAAUAUCUUAAAAGUAGUUAUUUAGGAAUUGAGUACCCUUCUUCAAUAGUCAUUGACACCUACAUGUCAAUGCAAUAUCCAGCUGACGGCUGCGUAGACCCCUGUGCCUCUCAGUACUGCUUAGCUCACUCCAAAGACAGUUUCAAGUUGCUCUUUACAUCUAUCAGUCUAUCAGCACACCGCAAGCAGCCUCAAAAACAAUUUUAUAACUACAAUAAAAAUAUUUUAUAUGUUAUUUGGGGUAGAUUUUUUUUUCCUGCAAUCGUAACUGUAAGUACAAAAAAUAUCGGUUGAAAGAGAGAGGAGGGACUUCAAACAUGACAUAUAGCAAAAUGAUACAGUUACAUAUCUUUGUACCAGACAGAAGUCAAGUGUGAAUCAGAGGUGCAGGUCAGUCACAAAUCCUGAAGUGCAACUGACACUUACAACUUAAUGAGGCCACGGUCACGUGCACAAGUGCUUUUAACCAUUUGGCUGUCUACAGAAUUCACGGGAUUACUUGUGUAUUCAAUUAGACCAGACAAACACGUGAAGGUAUUCACGUGCUCAAGUAUUUGUGGCAUCAGGUACCAAGGCAGAGAUUAUGAGAGCUGGGUGGGGUUUUUUUGGUUUUGUUUUUUUGAAACUCUUAGGUGUGUUGUCCUUACCUCCUCCCUCCUUGAUUCCUAAACCUCUAUCAAGUGGGCAAAACCCAUUUUACAGUGGAAAUCCAGACUAGUGGCUGUCCAAAGAAAUGGAAGCUGUUUAAAAAUAUUUGAGUUAUUUAAAUAUUCAAUAUGCAAUAAUGAGAGACAAAUAUGGGAAUGUUUGUGAAACAGGCCAGAAAUAUGAAUACUCCUGGUUGUUUUCAAGAACGCCGGCUUUACUAUUCAGAACUUACCUUGCAUGUUACACAUUACUAUAAUUGAAGAAAAAAAAAAAAAGCUUAAAUUAAAAUAUUUUAAAGUAGCAUUCUAUUCUCUCCCAUAAUUCAUAGCGACAGCAGAAUGAAAAAACAGAGCGAGCUUUAGAGGUUAACUGUGAGUUUUAAAAAUCAGCAGUUCAAUUCAGUCACUAAAAUGCAACAUGAAGUGUUGAGGUUUCUCUUGCUUCAGGAAUGCAAAGUGAAAUGAAAUCAAAUUUUAAAGUAUCCAUACAUGCUGCUUUAGUCACAGGAAAUAGGAUAAGUGAGAGCCAGAUCGUUCUUCCUCUUUGAAGGUGCAAAUCAUCAGUUCCUUGCUAACAGUUGAGAAUUUUGCAAGGAUUACAACUUAAGUAUCUCAAAUUUUUGAAGUAUCAUACACCUGAAUGCAGCUGUGUCAUUAAAAUAACCUUUUAAUAGACUUACAUUCUCAAUUUUAGUUUAAUUGUUUUUAGAGGUAUCCUAAGGUAUGAGAGGUAUCCCAUAGUACAAGAUAUCUUUUUAAAUGUAACUUGUCUUGCCCCCUUUACUGUAUCUGUUAUUCAUUUCAAUAAGACUAGCUAUACAGAGCAAAAAGAAAAAAAAUUACAACUGAUUUAAAGAGGUAAAUAUUGGUUAGAGAAUCCUUUAAAAAAAUUUAAGGUCCCAGUAGACCUCUGUCAGUAAGAAAUUCCACAUUUAUCAUGGAGUAAUAAGCUUUUGGAAAAUUAUCCUUUCUUAAAAGAGUAUGUUUGAAUCUGUUCCAAUUUGAAGAAAGAAGAAGUCACAAUCUUUUUCAGCUCUGUUAAUCA